rnacentral:rRNA from 1 species
AGCGGCGGACGGGUGAGUAACGCGUGGGAAUAUGCCUCUUGGUACGGAAUAGCCUCGGGAAACUGAGAGUAAUACCGUAUGUGCCCUUUGGGGGAAAGAUUUAUCGCCAAGAGAUUAGCCCGCGUUGGAUUAGGUAGUUGGUGGGGUAAUGGCCUACCAAGCCUACGAUCCAUAGCUGGUUUGAGAGGAUGAUCAGCCACACUGGGACUGAGACACGGCCCAGACUCCUACGGGAGGCAGCAGUGGGGAAU